GAUGAAGAACGCAGUGAAAUGCGAUACGUAGUGUGAAUUGCAGAAUUCAGUGAAUCAUCGAAUCUUUGAACGCACAUUGCGCCCGCCAGCAUUCUGGCGGGCAUGCCUGUUCGAGCGUCAUUUCAACCCCUCAGGCCCUAGCGCCUGGCGUCGGAGGCUUUCCCCCCUCACCGGGGAACCUCUCAGAAACAGUGGCGGACCCGCCGCGGCUCCGAGCGCAGUAGUUAAAAAGCGUGUCGCUCUGGAGAUCACCGCGGGGAGCCUCGCCGUUAAACCGGGCCGGUGACCUGGCCCACGCACAAGGUUGACCUCGGAUCAGGUAGGAAUACCCGCUGAACUUAAGCAUAUCAAUAAGCGGAGGA
rnacentral:misc_RNA from 1 species